rnacentral:piRNA from 1 species
UACAAGGUUGAGGAGAUAUGUCACUGGUGU